AACCAUUCUCACCUGCGGCUAGACCUGCGGAAGGAUCAUUACCGAGUGUGAACCCCCCCCGUAAAAAAGAGGGGUUACCUCCCGUCCUUUGCUGGGAACCCCUUUCCAACUUGGAAGGAGGUUGUUUUCAGACCCUUCUGCUUCGGUGGGGUAACCCACCGGAACAACCUCAAAAAUAUUCUCAAUUCAAAACCGUUCAGUCCGAGAACUUUUUUGAAAAGCGAAAAAACUUUCAACAAC
rnacentral:misc_RNA from 1 species